rnacentral:rRNA from 1 species
AUACGUAGGUGGCAAGCGUUAUCCGGAUUUAUUGGGCGUAAAGGGUCCGCAGGCGGUCUGUUUAGUCUGAGGUGAAAGCGUUGAGCUCAACUCAAUUAAGCCUUAGAUACUGGCAGACUAGAGUGCAGAAGAGGGUUAUGGAAUUCCAUGUGUAGCGGUAAAAUGCGUAGAUAUAUGGAGGAACACCGGAGGCGAAGGCGGUAACCUGGUCUGUUACUGACGCUCAGGGACGAAAGCGUGGGGAGCAAAUAGGAUUAGAUACCCUAGUAGUCCACGCCCUAAACGAUGAUUACUAAAUGUUGGGGAAACUCAGUGUUGCAGCUAACGCAAUAAGUAAUCCGCCUGGGGAGUAUGCACGCAAGUGUGAAACUCAAAUGAAUUGACGGGG